rnacentral:sRNA from 1 species
UCAACCCGCCUAAUGAAGAACUCUUCUUCAUGGAACAAGCACCCCCGACGAGAGAAGCUCCAGUCAUUGAAGAAAGGGUUGAGAGUGAAAGAGAAGCUGAGAAUGAAGACGGAGAGGAGAUGGAUUGGGAGAACUACAAUGUGAGUAGGUUCCAUUUUGAGGAAUACAAACCACCACCAAGAGUGAGUAAGAGUCUGACUGUUGCGCAUAAGAAUAUUGGUUCGAUGAGUGCUUGGAAUAAGUUUCAAGACAGGAUGUUGAAAAAAUGUGGCAAGGCCAUAGCUGCAAUUCAGGCUGUACUAAGCUGUUCAUCUUCAGGCGCUACCAUGGUGAGAGAAAACCGCCCUGAAGAAGUGGUUUCAAGAAGGCAUAGAGUUUCACCUUCGAGACAAUCUGCCUAUGAGCAACGAGAGGUAUGUCGCCCUCAAGCUCCUGCACGACAUUCAUCUCAUGAACACCACGAGCAGAAAAGAAGGAGAAAAACAAGAAUUGUUCGGCCAAGGAGCAAGGACCUUCUUAUGUCCAGCAGAAGAUCACUCGACCAAGAUACUCGACGCGAUAUUGAGCAGAGUGUCAAGUAGGAUCCGUGGGUUCAGAACGAGCAGAAUGUUGAGCAAAAUUAGUGGGAUCAAGAUGGGCAGUACUCGGUAAUGAAUUGGCAUGCUUACUAUGGCAUCAACGAGCAUGAACCUUCACCUGAAAACUGAGGUAACACCACCUCUCCAUUGUAUAUACUAUAACAUCGUUUUCAUUUUUAUUUUUCUUUGUGUGUUUUGUGCUUUGGUCUUGAAUUUUCUUUCAGAUUUUUAUUUCACAAGGGACUGUUUAAUUUAAGUUUGGGGGAGGGUUCAAGACAUGUUUAACAUUGUGUUCUCUUUUCUUAUUUCAAAUUUUGCAUCAUCUAAGGCAUAGAAAAACCAUAAAAAUUUGAAAAAUUUUCAGAAAAUUAUUUCAUAAAAAAAAGAGUGUCAUGUAGAUUGUAUAUCAUUUUAGGAUUGUAUAUAGAGUGUUUGCAUUUAGGAUUGCUCAUUUGCAUAG